rnacentral:rRNA from 1 species
AAUGAACGCUGGCGGCAGGCCUAACACAUGCAAGUCGAACGGAUCCUUCGGGAUUAGUGGCGGACGGGUGAGUAACGCGUGGGAACAUACCCUUUGGUACGGAAUAGCCUCGGGAAACUGGGAGUAAUACCGUAUGUGGUCGAGAGACGAAAGAUUUAUCGCCAAAGGAUUGGCCCGCGUUGGAUUAGGUAGUUGGUGGGGUAAUGGCCUACCAAGCCGACGAUCCAUAGCUGGUUUGAGAGGAUGAUCAGCCACACUGGGACUGAGACACGGCCCAGACUCCUACGGGAGGCAGGAGUGGGGAAUCUUAGACAAUGGGGGAAACCCUGAUCUAGCCAUGCCGCGUGAUCGAUGAAGGCCUUAGGGUUGUAAAGAUCUUUCAGGUGGGAGGAUAAUGACUGUACCACCAGAAGAAGCCCCGGCUAACUCCGUGCCAGCAGCCGCAGUAAAAC